AAGUGAAAAGAUGAUUUACAGUUUCCCUAUUGGUUUGAUUGCCGCAAUGAUGGCUUUUUAUUUAACUGCCUGAUCACUU
rfam:Physcomitrella patens subsp. patens PHYPAscaffold_168 genomic scaffold, whole genome shotgun sequence.